rnacentral:rRNA from 1 species
GACGAACGCUGGCGGCGUGCCUAAUACAUGCAAGUCGAGCGCUGAAGGUUGGUUCUUGUAUGAACUGGAUGAGCAGCGAACGGGUGAUUAACGCGUGUCUAAUCUGCCUUGGAGCGUGGGACAACAUUUGGAAACGAAUGCUAAUACCGCAUAAAAACGUUAAACACAAGUUUCAUGUUUGAAAGAGGCAAUUGCAUCACUCAAAGAUGAUCCCGCGUUGGAUUAGGUAGUUGGUGAGGUAAAGGCCCACCAAGGCGAUGAUACAUAGCCGACCUGAGAGGGUGGUCGGCCCCAUUGGGAAUGGGACACGGGCCCAACUCCUACGGGGAGCAGCCGUAGGGAAAUUUCGGCCAUGGAGGGAAAUCUUGCCGAAGAACGCCGGGGGGGGGGAGAAGGUUCUCCGGUCGGUAAAGUCUGUUGGUAGGGAAGAAAGUUCGUGAGGGUGGAAAGCUGAUGAAGUGACGGUAACUACAGAAAAAGGAACGGCUAACUACGUG